AGAGUUUGAUCAUGGCUCAGAACGAACGCUGGCGGCAGGCUUAACACAUGCAAGUCGAGCGCCCCGCAAGGGGAGCGGCAGACGGGUGAGUAACGCGUGGGAAUCUACCCUCUACUACGGAAUAACGCAUGGAAACGUGUGCUAAUACCGUAUGUGUCCUUCGGGAGAAAGAUUUAUCGGUAGGGGAUGAGCCCGCGUUGGAUUAGCUAGUUGGUGGGGUAAAGGCCUACCAAGGCGACGAUCCAUAGCUGGUCUGAGAGGAUGAUCAGCCACAUUGGGACUGAGACACGGCCCAAACUCCUACGGGAGGCAGCAGUGGGGAAUAUUGGACAAUGGGCGCAAGCCUGAUCCAGCCAUGCCGCGUGAGUGAUGAAGGCCUUAGGGUUGUAAAGCUCUUUCACCGGAGAAGAUAAUGACGGUAUCCGGAGAAGAAGCCCCGGCUAACUUCGUGCCAGCAGCCGCGGUAAUACGAAGGGGGCUAGCGUUGUUCGGAUUUACUGGGCGUAAAGCGCACGUAGGCGGAUCGAUCAGUCAGGGGUGAAAUCCCAGAGCUCAACUCUGGAACUGCCUUUGAUACUGUCGAUCUGGAGUAUGGAAGAGGUGAGUGGAAUUCCGAGUGUAGAGGUGAAAUUCGUAGAUAUUCGGAGGAACACCAGUGGCGAAGGCGGCUCACUGGUCCAUUACUGACGCUGAGGUGCGAAAGCGUGGGGAGCAAACAGGAUUAGAUACCCUAGUAGUCC
rnacentral:rRNA from 1 species